CCCAUCUGCUCAACAUCCCCAGCUGGAACUGGAAAGAGGGUGAUGACGCAAUAUGCCUUGCAGAGCUCAAGUUGGGUUUCAUAGCCCAGAGCUGUCUGGCUCAAGGCCUCUCCACAAUGCUUGCCAAUCUCUUCUCUAUGAGGUCAUUCAUAAAGGUAACGUCUUGUCUUAUUAGAGCACAUUAGCCUAGGAUUCCAUUUGUCGUGGGGUUGAGUAGAGCACAGCUUAAACUCAAAACAGAUCGACGGGCUUUAACUUCUCUGGUUGAGAAGAAAUUCCUUGUUACAGAUUUGGGAACGAGGCCAGCUCCUUUCAAAAUUAUGUUUUUAUUUUUAUUUGGCACAUCCGUGGCCAUUAAAUGAUUGUUCAAAGCACAAUCCUCUCUCUC
rnacentral:lncRNA from 1 species